GACGAACGCUGGCGGCGUGCUUAACACAUGCAAGUCGAACGGAAAGGCCCUGCUUUUGUGGGGUGCUCGAGUGGCGAACGGGUGAGUAACACGUGAGUAACCUGCCCUUGACUUUGGGAUAACUUCAGGAAACUGGGGCUAAUACCGGAUAGGAGCUCCUGCUGCAUGUUGGGGGUUGGAAAGUUUCGGCGGUUGGGGAUGGACUCGCGGCUUAUCAGCUUGUUGGUGGGGUAGUGGCUUACCAAGGCUUUGACGGGUAGCCGGCCUGAGAGGGUGACCGGCCACAUUGGGACUGAGAUACGGCCCAGAAUCCUACGGGAGGCAGCAGUGGGGAAUAUUGCACAAUGGGCGGAAGCCUGAUGCAGCAACGCCGCGUGCGGGAUGACGGCCUUCGGGUUGUAAACCGCUUUCGCCUGUGACGAAGCGUGAGUGACGGUAAUGGGUAAAGAAGCACCGGCUAACUACGUG
rnacentral:rRNA from 1 species